rnacentral:rRNA from 1 species
UACCUGAGAUGGGGAUAACGUAGCGAAAGUUACGCUAAUACCGCAUACGAUCUAAGGAUGAAAGUGGGGGAUCGCAAGACCUCAUGCUCGUGGAGCGGCCGAUAUCUGAUUAGCUAGUUGGUAGGGUAAAAGCCUACCAAGGCAUCGAUCAGUAGCUGGUCUGAGAGGACGACCAGCCACACUGGAACUGAGACACGGUCCAGACUCCUACGGGAGGCAGCAGUGGGGAAUUUUGGACAAUGGGCGAAAGCCUGAUCCAGCAAUGCCGCGUGAGUGAAGAAGGCCUUCGGGUUGUAAAGCUCUUUUGUCAGGGAAGAAACGGUGAGAGCUAAUAUCUCUUGCUAAUGACGGUACCUGAAGAAUAAGCACCGGCU